UUGCCACCGCUAUGCAGUGCGUGAGACCCCAGGGAGAGUCUCGCUCUCUGCCGACCCCACGGGCCCUGCAAGAAUAAGGAAGGGGGUCGUGGACUCAUCCCCCGAUUACAGGGACAGUCCUUCCCAAACCAGAGUGUCGGAGGGGACCUGGGACCUUGAGAUGGGUGGUGGGGACUCACCUGACACGGGUAGUAACAACCAACCCCCGGCACCCCCUGGGCCCAGGUCUAUGAGCCCUGCCUGGCCCCAGGGUUAUGGGGGCUGCUAUCCCUGCACCCUGGGGAGAUGGGGAGCUGUCUGCACAAGGGAGUCCAUCGCCCCAUCAGUUCUUUCCUUCCCCAGGUGGGGAAACCCUAUGGCGGGCAGCGCUGUCAGCAGCUGGAGCUGAAGGCGCUUCGGGCCCGGCUGGCACAGGUGGAGCAGGACAUUGAAGUCAUCCUGUCCUGGUAGCCGUGGGGCUGGGGAGGGAGCUGGCUGUUCCCGUUGUGCAGCACAGGGCUCGGGGCACAAGCCCAGGGGCCAACCCUGCCUCUGUGCAUGUUUCUCCAUGGGGAAGGGGUAUUUUCUGAGACGGCGCCAUCCACCUCUCUGAGCCCAGAAAUGGUUUCUUGCCUCCACAGCGCACAGAAAAGGGAGGAGCGUCUCCGGGUGAGUUUACGUGGGGCAGAGGCUGCCAGGGCUGUGGGGCAGGGGAGGGAAGAGGCUGCGGCCAAGCUUGGCCAGGCUGGGUGACAUCCCAGAGGCUGCUGAAGCUGGGAGCAGAGUCCCGACACAUGGCGUGUGGGGAGAGGAGGGACCUGAUGGGUGCGCAGAGAGGUAACGCUGGUAGGUGUGGGGCCCGAUCCACUGGGCGCAGGCAUGGGCGGGCUCUGACGGGCUGGGGGCAUUCUCGUGCAGGCCCAAGUGGAGGCGCUGAGGAGCCAGAACCUGUUCCUGGUGCUGGCCCUCAAGGCCCAGAAAGAGCAGGACCAGGAUCAGGAUGACAGCCCCACGGAGACUUCCAUGGAUAUGGAGGGGAUGGCGGAGGAGUGCUGGCCACCCUGGGGGGGAAGCAUUAGCACCCGCCAGGAAAUGGAGGCAGAGUCCCCUGAGGACAAGGGGACCCAGACCAACCUGCCCCAGUUUGUAGAGGCCAGCACCCAGGCAGAGGGCCCUGGGCACAAACAUGCCAGCACCCAGACCAGGGCCCUCUGCCUGUCUGAGACGGGGUGUCAGACCGAACCCCUGCCCGUGACAGACGCUAGCACCCAAACAAAUGUUCACCAACGUCAGAAAUGACCAGGACAUGGGGAGAGGUAUGGUGCCUUUUGUAUUGUUAGUUUGUGAGCCUGGAAUCAGAGCUAGAUGGGACCUGGGUGAUGAUCAGGGCCUCUUCUGCCUCCAGGCAGGUCAGGAUGACCCAUGAUGCCCAUCCCUCAGGGUGCCAGUGCCCUGAACCAAGCAGCUGUUGCCUGUGUCAGUUGCACAUCAUCCCUGGGCCUCUGGAUCCUGUCCUCAGGCAGCGCGGGGACCACAUCUUGGGAGGGGAUUGCCCCUGGGCUGUAUGAAGGCCUAAGAGGCAGGUGGGAGAGCUUCUUACCCUUACCGUAAAUAAGUUCUUCCUGAUGUCUAAUUUAAAUGUGCUCUGUCUGUUUGUGGCCAUUAUUUCUAGUUAUCCCAAGGGGCACCCUGGUAAAUAGAGUAUCUCCUAUUUCUUUCUGCCCCCUGCAACUCCCUGAUGAAUUUGUAGAUGGCCGCAGGUCACAUCUCAGCCUUCUCUUGUGGAGGCUGAAGACAUCCAGGUCCCUUAAUUUCUCUUCGUAGGACCUUAUGUGCAGGCCCUGAACCAUAUGAAUGGCCUCUGGACCCGCUCAAGGUUAUCCACGUCCCUCUUCAAGUGCAGCGCCCAAACCUGGGCGCAGUUUUCCAGCUGCGCCCUUACCAAUGCCGCAGAGAGGGGAAGUGUCACCUCCCCAAACCUGUUUGUGAUGCACCUGCUAAUGCAUGAUAGACUGUGGUUAGCUUUACUUAUCACUUUGUCACACUGAUGACUCAAGUUCAUCUUGGAGUCGACUAUGACUCCAAGAUCCCGUUCUGCUGCUGUGCUGCUUAAAAGUCAUCUCCCAGGUUGUAAGUGUGACGGUGACUCUCCCUAGGUGCAGCUCUUAGCACUUGACUUCACUUAAGUGCAUCCUAUUCUGUCCAUAAUGCAUCUCUAACCAGUUACUUCUUGUGUAAUCAAGAGCAGAUGCCCCUCCCAGGGCAUGGAGGCAGGCACCCAGGCCAGCCUGCCCCUGACCAAAGAGAUCAGCACCCAGGCAGAGGGCCCCCGGCAUGAAGACACCUGCACCCAGACCAGGGCCCUCUGCCUGGCUGAGGCAGGGUGCCAGGCUGGCCCGGGGCUGACGUUGGAGGCAAGCACCCAGAGCAACAGGCAACGACACGGGCAAAGUGCUGACACAGCAGCAGAGGGGAAGAGACAAAGGUGGGGAGCACUGAGAAGGUGAGUGUGCCCUUGCACCCCAGCAGCACCAGUGUGAGGGGUGCCGUCCAACAGCCCACAUGAUGAUCAGGUGCCUCCUGCCUCCAGGCCACUCAGGAUGACCUGUCCUCCCUCUGCCAGGGCUCUAGUGCCCCAUAAGGACCGGCUAUCUUCCAUUUUGGCCCCUCAUUGCCCACCUCUGGGCCCAAGGACCCUGCUGCCAGGGUUGUCACCCCGGGGUUUGGAAGUCAGAGCUUCUGGCCCCAGUCAGGCCUGCUGGGACAGAAAGCCCCACUGAGCCAUGUGUGAGAACCACGUACUGCUCCUGGCUGGGGAGACUCUCCUUUACCCCGUGGUUGUUCCCCGGGGCUUAGUGUGGGGCCAAGAUCCAUCCCAUCCCACUCAUACUAGUUUCUUCUCGUCUGGCCUGCAUCCCAACCAGAGCAUGCCCUGACUCUGCCGUUCUCCCACAGACUCGCCUGGAUUGUCCCGUGCUGUUUUGCCCCCAGGAGAUGAACAGCUGAACUCCUCCCCUCCCCACGCACCUCUGUCCUCCCCUGCCUCCAUCCUCCCCUGCCUGAUCCGGGAUGGGCCCACAGGAUGCCAGCAUUGGUGAUUCUGCCUCUCUGAGCAUGCCUCCACCUGCCACAGCUCGGCACUGAGGCUCAGGUGCCCUGGCUGCAAUCAAGGCAGGCAGUGCCAUGCCAAACUGAGGACCCCACCGCAAUUGCUCCGAAGACUGGUUGGAAUAGCCUAAGAGAGGCCCAGAGAGAGAGGCACCCGGGGCUUGCACUGGGACACUUGAAACAGGAUUGGAUGCUUUGCCAGCUGCCAGAAAAAAAUCUGGCAGUUUUCCCCAAGCCCACCACACUUGGGGAAGCAUUGGACAAUUUUCCAGCUUCUAUAGCAUUUAGGAAAAACCUGGAGGCUCAACUCACCACUGCAAGGAGUCCAGCAGGCUCCCACCACAGACCAAAAUACCCAGGGAAGCACCACACCGCUCUCCGGACUGCCGGAGCAUCGGGUACACAAGUGGAUGCUCUCCCUCCCAGCACAGAUGCAGCAGGGCCCCAAAAUGCACGCACAAAACCUGUGCAGAAGCCUCCAGCUCAGGUGUGGAUGGGAGAGGGCUAUCCAGGGUGACCUGAAGUGGGAAACAGGCUCCAGCGAGGAGGCUUCCCAACACCACGUACCCAACCAGUACACCUGCGGGCUUGAAGCACCCCAGCAGGAGGCCAGCAGGAAAGCAGGCCUCACCCAGGCACAGUGGUGCCCACCAUGAGAUGGUGCCAUACCUGGCCUCGUGCCUGGGUGGGAAGAACUCUUGCAAAAAUGGCAACAGGCCAGGAAACAUAGGAGCCCGGUGCGGGGUGAGAGAGGAGAGCACCAGCACAGGCCAAAUCCAUGCCCAAGAAAGGGAUUGUAGAGCAAGCAGGCAUCGUGGCCUUGCCUAGCCGCGCAGUAUGAGCUAAUCAACUUCCAUGACCUUUUUAGUUGUGAUUUUGCACAUAGAAGGCAGAAGCAGAAUCCUUGUGGUCACAACUCUCGCCAGACACCUCACAUAGAAGAAAAGACAACGUCAUCAUGCCAAGAUGUCACCGUGGCUAAUUACAAGACCCGAGUAGAAAGGGGUGAGCUGCAGGGAAGGAGGAGCUCCAGACAAGUCAUGAACAUGCUGUCACACCUGGACCCCCAGGGAACCACUGAUCCCCACCUCUAGGCAAGUGAAAGUUCACCCAGUGGAAACAACAAAGUUGUGGUGUGGUGUGACCCAGGCGGGUGGGAUGUGCCUGCAGCCCAAUGCCAACUACACUGAGCAUAAGCCUGUCACAAACCCACUCCCCCUUGCAGUAAAAGUGUUUUCUAUCAAUAUGCCUUCCCCUUUCUGACACCAGGUCAAGCCCAGGAUGAUUGCAAUGAGGCCUGAUGUUGGCAGUGGGAUCCUAGUCGAGAACCAGAGAGGGGUGAGGAUGCUGCAGCACUACAGACUCCCUGUGCAGUUGGCCUAGGCACAGCAGGAUGCCUGAUCCAGCCCAUUGCCUGACUUCUGAUUGCAUCCAGAGCUGCCGUGUGUCCCGAGGCCAAAUAUCAAGCUGUCACGGUACACCUUCUUUUCAACCUUUCCGUGUUCUGGGAAUUGUAGGAGAAUGCCUUGGGGGCUGCCUGACAUAGGUCAGGAUUGUCUUUUUCUCCUGCUGCCUGUCAUAGUGCCCCGCAUACAGCAUGUCCCACAACAUAAUACACACCUUGUUUGAGGAAGACAGAAUGGAGAGAAAAAGCUCUUUACGUGUAGGACCGAACUGGGGAGCAGCAGCAAGGCACCGGAGCCGACUCAUUACUCUGCACCCUGUAGAUCACAUGAAGGUUUGACUUUAUUGCUCCCAGGACCUGGCAGAAACUGCUCUUACUCCAUGUCUUCGUGUAAUGGAUAAUGGGAUUUCCCACAGCGGGUUAUUUUUCAAAAAAAGUGUUUGUUGUAUUUUGAAAAAGACAGUACUUCCUAGGCUGACAUAUUAACAAAUCCCUGAUCCUGCAGGAGAGGAACUGCUGGGAGCGAGGGAAUGAUACCCAGUAAGAUCCUGGAGAGCUUGAAUGAGCACAGCAGGGCUAAGCUGAUCCUCUCUCUGUUUUGCUCUCUCCGAAUACACACUUUGCUGCACGAGGAGGUUGCAGAAGUCCCAAUCUUAGUGGGGUGCUGCAGCUCAAGCCCCAAAGCUUUGGUCCUGGCAACGAGCCCUGCAGCUACCUUUCCCACUCUGCAAACAGGCAGGCAUUCAUCCCUUGAGUGGGCUGGGGAGGGACACUGGGACACCAUUUGAGCUUAUAUUUGAAAGGCUCUGGCUGGAGUGGGAGACAAGCUUGUGUUUUUCUCUUUUCCUGAGUAUCCUGCUCCAGUUCUUCCCUCUCCUCCCCCAAGCACCAACCCCACACAAUACUUGCCCAAAGAUUAGAGCGAUAGACAAAGUGUCUGUGCGCAUGUCUGCAGUACACUGGCUACUACCAGUGGGUACGACAGAACUAGCCUGUCCAAGUGCCUGUCCGAAGGGUCUUCAUUUUCCUGGUGUGGAAAUAACAGGGGAUUGAUUUCACUCAUACAGGCUUUUAGUUCUGCUUUCUUUUUCUCUCUCAUAGGCAGAAGCCUGUCCUUUCAAGCCAUCCUCACAAGGUUUCCUUCCUGUGAAGCAGUGUGUGUGUUUCCUGAUGCACAAGGUCAUUCCCAUGUUAAAAGAAGACAUGCAUAGGCCUCUUGCUUCAAAAGCAAGUCCCACAGUGAUAGAUGAAUGGCAAUGGGCGCAGACAUGUAUGAUUACCAGAAGCCCCUGGUCACAGACCUUCCCCUGGUCACGGAACUGCACAUACAGAGCCAAUGACUGAAUGAUGAUGAUUUGUACUUCGAGUUGAGACAGGUGUGUAAUUAGGCAGCUGCAAUUAUACCCCUCCUCCUCAUACCCCUCCUCAUGUUUGACAUGAUAGGCUAGGUUAAGAGUCUACAAACAACUGCUUAUAAUCAAUUCACUACCAAUUUUUGAGGUUAUUAAUAACCCCCAUAGACCAAGGCUUAUAUCAAGAAGGCCAUUUUGAUAUCCAGAAAAAUGGAUCCAGCAAUGGAAGACAAUUGACAUCAUUAAUAAAUUUCUUAUCAUGGACCCCACAUCUAAACCUCCUGGUUCCCUUUUCCUAAGGCAGAGCUGGACUACAUUGAACAAGGCUCAUAGUUGAAAACUACCUAUUUUUAAAUAGAAUUGUUUUUAAGCUCCCAAGUAUCAGUGUGACAUCUUGUACCAUCUAUACUUUCCCCAGAGCCAGGGACUCUGCUCCUCAAAGCUUGCAAAAAAGGACAAUUUUCUUGCGAUUUCCCAGUCGAUCUAAUAAAAGGUGUCAUUUU